rnacentral:rRNA from 1 species
UGGCGGACGGGUGAGUAACGCGUGGGUAACCUGCCUUACACAGGGGGAUAACACUUAGAAAUAGGUGCUAAUACCGCAUGAGCGCACAGGACCGCAUGGUCGAGUGUGAAAAACUGAGGUGGUGUAAGAUGGACCCGCGUCUGAUUAGCUAGUUGGUGAGGUAACGGCCCACCAAGGCGACGAUCAGUAGCCGGCCUGAGAGGGUGGACGGCCACAUUGGGACCGAGACACGGCCCAAACUCCUACGGGAGGCAGCAG